UUUUAGGAGCUAGCCGUCGAAGGUGGGACAAAUGAUUGGGGUGAAGUCGUAACAAGGUAGCCGUAUCGGAAGGUGCGGCUGGAUCACCUCCUUU
rnacentral:rRNA from 5 species